UACGGAGGGUGCAAGCGUUAUCCGGAUUCACUGGGUUUAAAGGGUGCGUAGGCGGGCAGGUAAGUCAGUGGUGAAAUCUUCGAGCUUAACUCGGAAACUGCCAUUGAUACUAUUUGUCUUGAAUAUUGUGGAGGUAAGCGGAAUAUGUCAUGUAGCGGUGAAAUGCUUAGAUAUGACAUAGAACACCGAUUGCGUAGGCAGCUUGCUACACAAAUAUUGACGCUGAGGCACGAAAGCGUGGGGAUCAAACAGG
rnacentral:rRNA from 1 species